rnacentral:lncRNA from 1 species
GUGGGGGCAGAGCCCAAGAGUGGCUCCUCCCCAGGGCUGCGCUUAGACUACAUUUCCCCAGGACUUGAGCCCCCGGUGGGCAGCAUUGUGGUGACCCAUGGGCCACCCAUCGAGAGGGCUUCCUGCUACAACUCACCUUUGGGCUGCUGCUCAGAUGGCAAGACACCCUCACUGGACUCCGAAGGCUCCAACUGUCCUGGUAAGUGAACCUUGGGGAAGGGAUGAGCUUGAGGAACAGCAUAGAUAGGAGUGCUGUCUUCACCCCUCGGCAGCAGGUCGGUAUAAGGUUAUGGUGUUCUGGCUCCAGCACUUCGAGUGUGUGGGGGGAUUAAGUUUGGCACACACAUGCACUCUGGUUUCAACCAUUGAAUAUGCAUGUGUGCCAAGGACC